CCUACGGGGGGCAGCAGUGGGGAAUAUUGGGCAAUGGGCGCAAGCCUGACCCAGCAACGCCGCGUGAAGGAAGAAGGCUUUCGGGUUGUAAACUUCUUGUAUCAGGGACGAAGCAAGUGACGGUACCUGAUGAAUAAGCCACGGCUAACUACGUGCCAGCAGCCGCGGUAAUACGUAGGUGGCAAGCGUUAUCCGGAUUUACUGGGUGUAAAGGGCGUGUAGGCGGGAGUGCAAGUCAGAUGUGAAAACUAUGGGCUCAACCCAUAGCCUGCAUUUGAAACGGUACUUCUUGAGUGCUGGAGAGGCAAUCGGAAUUCCGUGUGUAGCGGUGACCUGCGUCGCUAUCCGGCGGAACCCCAGUGGCGAAGGCGGCUUGCUGGACCGUAACUGACGCUGCGGCGCGCCAGCGUGGGGAGCACACAGGAUUAGAUCCCCUUGUAGUC
rnacentral:rRNA from 1 species